GAAAUUUACUGGUGCUGAGCAAAAAAGGAUAUUGAGAGAUUUCUUUUUACCAAAACGAAUAAGAGAAAAGAAUGGCGCUGAACUAAACAAAGGGAAGUGACCAUAAGUUGAGUAAUAUUGUUAAAAACAACAAUCAACAAUACUCAUUGGAUAAUAUUUAAAUUACAUGGUCGAAUAAGAUCUCCUUAUCUCGAUGAAUCUCAAACUGGGAUUUCGAUAUCUCAAUAAAUCUGAGAUUCGGAGUUUCUAAAAGCCGCAAUAAUGCUUUACAAAUUAGAGCUUACCUAAAAUUAAAGAAUAUCUUGCCCAGAAGCCGAGGUAGGGACUCAUUGAGUAUGAGUACGACAAUAAACUGCAUACCGUAUGCUAGCUGUAAUCUUGGUUGAAAGUUUUGAGAGCCAAUUCUGAAGGCAUCAGACUGUCAGCACCUUCAACAUAUCAUGUAAUAUGAAUACCAGUUUUGUGUAAAUCAUGUAAUAACAUUAAACAUCAAUGUUGAAUUUACACAACCAUACUGUUAGCAACAAAGGCAUGAAUGAAACAAAAA